rnacentral:rRNA from 1 species
UACGGGGGGUGCGAGCGUUGUCCGGAAUCACUGGGCGUAAAGGGCGCGUAGGUGGUCUGAUAAGGGUGUGGUGAAAGCCCGGGGCUCAACCCCGGGUCGGCCGUGCCGACUGUUAGACUAGAGUGCUGUAGGGGCAGGCGGAAUUCCGGGUGUAGCGGUGGAAUGCGUAGAGAUCCGGAGGAAGACCGGUGGCGAAGGCGGCCUGCUGGGCAGUUACUGACACUGAGGCGCGACAGCAUGGGGAGCAAACAGG